GACGAACGCUGGCGGCGUGCUUAACACAUGCAAGUCGAACGGAGAAUUUUAUUUCGGUGAAAUUCUUAGUGGCGAACGGGUGAGUAACGCGUAGACAACCUACCUCUCAGAUGGGGACAACAUCGCGAAAGCGGUGCUAAUACCGAAUGAUGUAACUUUUCUGCAUGGAAGAGUUACCAAAGGCGGCCUCUAUUUAUAAGCCGUCACUGAGAGAUGGGUCUGCGUCUGAUUAGCUAGUUGGCGGGGUAAUGGCCCACCAAGGCGACGAUCAGUAGCCGGUCUGAGAGGAUGAACGGCCACAUUGGGACUGAGACACGGCCCAAACUCCUACGGGAGGCAGCAGUGGGGAAUCUUCCGCAAUGGACGAAAGUCUGACGGAGCAACGCCGCGUGAGUGAAGAAGGUUUUCGGAUCGUAAAGCUCUGUUGUUUGAGACGAACGUGCAAUUUUUGAAUAAGGAAUUGUAAUGACGGUAUUAAACGAGAAAGCCACGGCUAACUACGUGCCAGCCGCCGCCGUAA
rnacentral:rRNA from 1 species